CGACUGCCAUCCUCGCUAAUUUUUAUAUAAUUAAGAUGUAUUUAAGCCAUAAUUUUACAUAAAUCUAAGAAAAAUUAUUCAACGGCAAAAUAUAUAUGACCGAAGUUAUGCGAUACUGUUUAUGUGCUUCAGUGCUUCAGUGCUUCUGGUUGAGGCCGAAGAGGCAAAAGAAACCUAGAGUUAUAUAUACGUCACUAUAAAAUAUAGAUGAAUAUUUGAAUGUACUUUCUUCUUCUUCUUA